rnacentral:tRNA from 1 species
AGCCCCGUAGUGUAGCGGCCAAUCAUUCAGCCCUCUGAAGGCUGAGACCCCAGUUCGAAUAUUGAUGCUCGAAGAGCGAAAUACCUUCGAACAUCAGUGAGAAAGUCUGGGCGGGGCUA